GGCAGUCUUCCUAGAUAAUUUUCAAUGGCCAGAAUGUGAAUGUAUUGACGAGUGAGAGAAGAAAUGUUGUGGCGUCUGUUGUGACAGGUAUAUUGUUUUUUACAGGCUGGUGGAUAAUGACGCAGCAGUGGUGUAUUGUAGGCCAGAACAGUUGAACCAUGCCUUUCACACAUGUGGUGUAUUUCCCACAUUGGCUUUCUUCAUGAUAAAUGCUGUAUCCAAUGCUCAGGUGAGAGGUGAUAGCUAUGAAAGUGGCUGUUUAGGAAGAACAGGUCCUUGAGUUUGGCUUUUCGUUGGUUUCAUGUUGAUGUUUGGGGUACUUAUUGCUUCCAUGUGGAUUCUUUUUGGUGCAUAUGUUACCCAACCACUCUGAUCUACAAAUUUGGAAGAACUGAAGAGCUGUGGACCU
rnacentral:lncRNA from 1 species